GACGAACGUUGGCGGCGUGCCUAAUACAUGCAAGUCAACUGAAAUACCGGUAGCAAUACUGGUAUGGAGGUGGCGCACGGGUGAGUAACACGUAGGUAAUCUGCCUUCAGGUCUGACAUAACCCAUCGAAAGGUGAGCUAAUAUCAGAUGAUGCAGCGGCUUGACAUCAAGACAGUUGUUAAAGCUUCGGCGCCUGAAGAUGAGCCUGCGUCUGAUUAGCUAGUUGGCGGGGUAACGGCCCACCAAGGCUGCGAUCAGUAGCUGGUCUGAGAGGAUGAUCAGUCACACUGGAACUGAGACACGGUCCAGACUCCUACGGGAGCAGCAAGUAAGGAAUAUUGCUC
rnacentral:rRNA from 1 species